GAUGAACGCUGGCGGCGUGCCUAAUACAUGCAAGUCGAACGCUUCACUUCGGUGAAGAGUGGCGAACGGGUGAGUAAUACAUAAGUAACCUGGCAUCUACAGGGGGAUAACUGAUGGAAACGUCAGCUAAGACCGCAUAGGUGUAGAGAUCGCAUGAACUCUAUAUGAAAAGUGCUACGGGACUGGUAGAUGAUGGACUUAUGGCGCAUUAGCUUGUUGGUAGGGUAACGGCCUACCAAGGCGACGAUGCGUAGCCGACCUGAGAGGGUGACCGGCCACACUGGGAAUGGGACGCGGCCCAGACCCCCACGGGAGGCAGCAGCAGGGAAUUUUCGGGAAAGGGGGAAACCCUGACCGAGCAACGCCGGGGGAAGGAAGAAGUAAUUCGUUAUGGAAACUUCUGUCAUAGGGGAAAAAAGGUGGAUAUAGGGAAUGAUAUCCAAGGGAGGGUACUUUAGAAGAAAGCCACGGCUAACUACGU
rnacentral:rRNA from 1 species